UACGGAGGGUGCGAGCGUUGUCCGGAAUCACUGGGCGUAAAGGGCGCGUAGGCGGCUCAUGAAGGCUGUGGUGAAAGUCCGGGGCUCAACCUCGGAUCGGCCGUGGCGACUCGUGGGCUGGAGCACUGUAGAGGCGGGUGGAAUUCCGGGUGUAGCGGUGGAAUGCGUAGAGAUCCGGAAGAACACCAGUGGCGAAGGCGGCCCGCUGGGCAGUGGCUGACGCUGAGGCGCGACAGCGUGGGUAGCAAACAGG
rnacentral:rRNA from 1 species